AUUCUUGCCUUUAAACCUAUCCAAUGUAUUUCUACAGCUUGUGUGAUUGCUCCACCCCUAAAGCUGGGAAGCUGGAAUCAAGAGGAGCCACCUUAGUCCAGGAUGGGAGUGGAGUACCAAGUUAGAGGGUGCUGGUACAUGGCCAAGAAUGUCCCCGUGGGAGUGGGUGAGGAGCUUGGGGUCAAUUGCUGAUCAAAGUUCGUCUGAUCAUCUGCCUUGGCCUCAAGAUGUUGGAUCCGGACCUACCACUGUGCUUGGGAAUGACAGGCGGCGCAGGAGGGACUCGGACCUUUGACUGAUCGACCAGGAUUAGGAUCAGGAUUGGGAUUACUUCUCAGAUACAAAUCAAGCAAAAGAAAAUAAGUGCAUCUGCUUGGUCAGGGUUGGAUAUUUUGCCAUUUCUACAGCAGACAAAAUCCUAUUGACAUUUGCAGCUGGGAUUCGAGCUUCAAGAACCUGCAUGCAUCAUUUCUGGCUUAUUUAUUCAUUGUACGAACUUCCGUCACCUCAUUCAUAGUAGCAUCAUGAUAAUGGAAAACAGAAACACAAAAUGAUUUAGUUAAAGAACAACAAAAAAGCGCUGUUAAAAAUCUAAAAGGAACAUCAGUAGGUACAGUAUUUAAAAUGAAGUUACCUUUUGUAUUUAAGAAUAUUUUACAGUAAUCAUAAUUCAAGGUAAUAAAAAUAUUUU
rnacentral:lncRNA from 1 species